rnacentral:rRNA from 1 species
CCCCUAGAUGUUCUGGGCCGCACGCGCGCUACACUGAUACGUUCAUCGAGCUCCCCACCUUGGCCGAGAGGUCUGGGUAAUCUUCUCAAAGCGUAUCGUGAUGGGGAUAGAUUAUUGCAAUUCUUAAUCUUCAACGAGGAAUUCCUAGUAAACGCGUGUCAUCAACGCGCAUUGAUUACGUCCCUGCCCUUUGUACACACCGCCCGUCGCUACUACCGAUUGAAUGGUUUAGUGAGGUGCACGGACCGGCGCCUUUGCGGGGUUUCCCGCGCUGGCGAUUGGGAAGUGUACCAAACUUGAUCAUUUAGAGGAAGUAAAAGUCGUAACA